AAAGUAAGCUGGGCAGUCGCCGGUGCAGUGUCGAAAGACCGCACGGGAGGAAAGUCCGAGCUUCACAGGGCGAUGGUGCCGGCUAACGGCCGGUGGGAGCGAUCCUAAGGAUAGUGCCACAGAAAGAAACCGCCAGCGGCCUCUUCGGAGGUGCGGGCAAGGAUGCAACGGUGCGGUAAGAGCGCACCAGCAGCAUGGAGACAUGCUGGCUAGGUAAACCCCACCCGAAGCAAGACCGGAUAGGAGUCCACAUGCGUCGGCCCGGCGCGGACUCGGGUAGGUUGCUUGAGCGUGCUGGCAACAGUACGCCUAGAUAGAUGAUUGCCACUCCACAGUGCGAGGGUGACUCCCGUUUGCAGCACCAGGAGUACAGAACUCGGCUUACAGGCUUACUUUUCGG
rfam:Tumebacillus sp. AR23208, complete genome.